UACGUAGGGGGCAAGCGUUGUCCGGAAUUAUUGGGCGUAAAGAGCGCGUAGGCGGUCCGAUAAGUCGGCUGUGAAAGUCAGGGGCUCAACCCUUGAAAGCCGGCCGAUACUGUCGGACUAGAGUCCGGAAGAGGCAAGUGGAAUUCCCGGUGUAGCGGUGAAAUGCGCAGAUAUCGGGAGGAACACCAAUGGCGAAGGCAGCUUGCUGGGACGGUACUGACGCUGAGGCGCGAAAGCGUGGGAGCAACAGG
rnacentral:rRNA from 1 species